rnacentral:rRNA from 1 species
UGGGGAAUAUUGGACAAUGGGCGAAAGCCUGAUCCAGCGACGCCGCGUGGGUGAAGAAGGCCUGCGGGUUGUAAAGCCCUUUCGGUAGGGACGAAAGCUCUUGCCUUAAUACGGCAGGAGGUUGACUUAACCUACCUAAGAAGCACCGGCUAACUCUGUGCCAGCAGCCGCGGUAAUACGUAGGUGGCAAGCGUUGUCCGGAUUUACUGGGCGUAAAGAGCGCGCAGGCGGUUGGAUAAGUCGAAUGUGAAAGCCCCCGGCUCAACUGGGGAGGGUCAUUCGAUACUGUCCAACUUGAAGGCAGGAGAGGGCAGCAGAAUUCCCGGUGUAGUGGUGAAAUGCGUAGAUAUCGGGAGGAAUACCAGUGGCGAAGGCGGCUGCCUGGCCUGUUCUUGACGCUGAGGCGCGAAAGCUGGGGGAGCAA